AAUAUUUUAGCAGAGACUCCAUCUCCAAAAAAAGAAAAACAACAAAACGAACGUGAACGUCGGCAUCCUCCGGGGCUCCCAGGACGCCGUGACUUCCUGGCCACGGUGCUUACCAGGGUCUGGGCAGUGGCCCUGAACUCUCUACCUCGAAGAUUUCUUCUCUGGACACUUCGAUGCGGCAGUGACCAGCUUGGGGCUGCUGAAGCGACAGUUCAUGUCUGAGGACUUUCAGCUUCUGGACUAGAUCUCUUUCGUAUCUCUGGGCAGGAAGCUCCUCGUCCUCCAGAGAGCCCUCGCUGGGCAGUGGCAGCGGCUGGCUGGGCUCCUUGAGUUGGCACUGGUGACUUGGGAAGAAGAGACGCAGAGAGUCACUCUGAAGCCCCAGCCAGGGGAGCUGCAAGCACCCACGUACGCGACAGGGUCGGUGGAGUGGGCUUGCUAUGUGCACCUUCAGGGAGAAUUUGCAUAACCAGGUGCCUAGCUAGCUGUGUAAAAGUCGCUGAUGGCCACAUUAGCCUAAAUAUAGAUCUACAGUACAAUAAAGGAGGUACCCCAGGCCGGGCGUGGUGGCUCAAGCCUGUAAUCCCAGCACUUUGGGAGGCCAAGGCAGGUGAAUCACCUGAGGUCAGGAGUUCGAGACCAGCCUGGACAACAUGGUGAACCCUGGUCUCUACUAAAAAUACAAAAAAUUAGCCAGGUGUGGUGGUGGGCACCUGUAAUCCCAGCUACUCAGGAGGCUGAGAGAGGAAAAUCAUUUGAACCCGGGAAGUGGAGGUUGCAGUGAGCCGAGAUCGCGCCACUGCCCUCCAGCCCGGGCGACAGAGCCAGACUCUGUCUCAAAAAAAAAAGAGAGGUACCCCAAUUCCAAGCAACCACUUAUCUCGCACAUUACUACUACAAAUAAAACUGGAAAUGGUUGUCAUUUAUUAUGCAUCUAUUACACACCCAUGAGAUGGACCAGUACCAUCAGAUGCACCUUGGCAGUUAGAAUGAAAUGGAGAUGACGGGAAAAAAUUUUAAAGGAGAUAACAGUGGAGAGCUCAAAUGAAAUCUAAUGAUAGGCACAACAAACUGCUCAAGUGAAAUCUAAUGAAAACCAUCCCUCAUUUUUACCGCCAAGAGAUUUCCAUGCCUGCUCAUUGAGAGCAAACUUUCAGUAAAAUAAAAGGAGUAGGAUUAGUACAGUGACAAAGUGGCAGUUGUCCUGUUUAAGUUUUGCCACUGAGACACACAGCUGUCGGUAAAAAGAGCUAUGUCGAGGGUGGGAGCAGUGGCUCAUGCCUGUAAUCCCAGCACUUCGGGAGGCCGAGACAGGCAGAUCACCCGAAGUCAGGAAUUCGGGACCAGCCUGGCCAACGUGGCAAAAUCCCAUCUCUACUAAAAAUACAAUAAAUUAGCCGGGUAUGGUGGCAGGUGCCUGUAGUCCUAGCUACUUAGUAGGCUGAGGCAGGAGAAUCACUUGAACCAGGGAGACGGAGCUUGCAGUGAGCCGAGAUCGCGCCACUGCACUCCAGCCUGGGCGACAGAGCAGGACUCUGUCUCAAAAUUAAAAAAAGAGCUACGUGGGAUGUUUGGCUCUGAGAACACAACAGGCCUGGAACACUAAAUAUGGGAUCCAAGAGAAUUCCCAGUUCCGAGGUAUCCAGUUCCCCACCGUGCAGGCACUAGGGGGACAUCGUCUAUCUCUACUUCUCAACCUAAGGCCGCAUGUCUCAUGAGAGCGCUGCCUGCAGAAGCUUCCUUCGUGAAGCUGCCUAAGACUCCCAUCUCGGGAAAUUUUAUCUAGGCUGCAAGUAAGAAAAGGGUAGCAGCAAUCUAGGGCUUCAGCGCUCCUCACAGCUAAUUUAAGAGUUUAAAAUAUGCAGUUAUCCACCAGAUAUCUAACAUCAUUUUGACCACGCUUAUUACCCAACCAGCAAGGCAGUCAAUACAUUCACACAAAUCAGUCCAAGAAAGCAUUCAAUUAUCAAUGAAAGAGGUCAGCAAAAACUAUUUUUAAAGUCUUACUUCAUGAUGUGGUGUAACCUUGGGUCUGUAAACUGGGUUGUUCGGUUAUUAUGAUCUACAAAAUAUAUCCUCCCAGAAACUGUACUUCUGACUUCCCAGCCUGGCGGCAGUGGUCCAAGUUCAUCACAGUUCACACUGUUAAGGUCUCUACCAAAUGGAAGAUACAGAGAGGUUUAUCCAGCUGAGUACAGAGGAAUGAGGCCAAAAGUCAGCAACAGAAGCCACAGAGGUUCCUUAUCAAGGUGUCUGUGUCCCAGCUCUGCUAAGAUGGACCUUCAUGGUGCUACUUAUGCCAAACCUCCACUCAGUCCAGGCCCCUCUGUUGCAAACAGCAGCAACAUCCAAGAGAUUAAAAACCAAACUUUCAGGCUGGGUGCGGUGGCUCACGCCUGUAAUCCCAGCACUCUGGGAGGCGGGUAGAUCACCUGAGGUCAGGAGUUCAAGACCAUCCUGGCCAACAUGAUGAAACCCCGUCUCUACUAAUAAUACAAAAAUUAGUUGGGUGUGGUGGCGGGUGCCUGUAAUCCCAGCUACUUGGGAGGCUGAGGCAGGAGAAUCGUUUGAACCCGGGAGGUGGAGGUUGCAGUGAGCCCAGAUCACACCAUUGCACUCCAGCCUGGGUGACAAGAGCAAAAUUCCAUCUCAAAACAAAAAAAGGAAGUUUGAGAGCUUAUAACCAUGAUAAGGAACAGGGGCUCCCCACAGAAUAUCAUUUCUUAUACGAAAGAAGACCCAAAUAGUAGGAAGUAUCUUAGUGCUGUCAGAAAACUAACUGAAUUCACAAGUGUCAUUAAACGCUCCAGGCCAGAAGGGUUUCUUCAUUGGAAAGUUCCCAGACAGCACCAAGCUUUUCAGGGCGAAGGGAGAAUAGAGGAACAUGCAUUCAGAAACUCACAAUUCUAAACAGUUGCAGGACAAGCCAUUCUCAUUUUCAAAUGGGCUUUUUGUUCAACAAGUAUUUUCCACACUAAGAAUGAUUAUUCUCUUGAUUAAUCAUUUCAACACAAUCUACAGUCAGAAGGGAGCACAGCUUUACCGACCAAGAUGUGUUUCUAAUUAACACAAAAGCCUGUCAUUUCUAACGGGGUACAAAAGAGACACCGCAUUCGUUUGCAGGUAAUAUAUUUCCAGUCUCAUUAUAGGUACUGAGUCAUAAAUUAAACACAGAUUUGGAAAAUCAAAGACAGGAAGUUUAUGCUCAGAUGAAACAAAUUAUGAAUAAAAAGGAACUAAGUAUUACCAAAAAUCGUAUUAGGUAGUAAUGCUAUUCCAAAAGGAAAUAAAAAGCAAA